CUUGUUUUUCCACCUGACUGUCAAUGAAUGCGAAUGAGUCGAGGCUGAACUCACUUCAGUUGACUUCAAAAACAAUGCAUAAAUGCAAAUAAAAUAAAAUAGAGAACCAUAACCCCAAACAAAAGAGCCAACCGCCCAGCAUUUUUCUACAGCAGAAUGUAUUCACAUUACCAACAAUGAUAGGUAGCUUGCUAACUAUCAAAGCAACAUGUUGAUGAGAUAGCUAGCUCGCUAACAAUUUCAACAUGUUACUUACAUCAGUGUUUCCCCGUGUAUGGGAAUGGACAGGUGUGUGUAAGCACCUUGUAAGAGAUACUGUACUUGCAAACAUUAUCGCAGCCACUCAUCCUCACGAGGGUAGAGGGUGUGCCGGAGCCUGUGCUAGCAUGACUGAGAAAGUAUUCAUGGUAUGCAUACCUAUCAACUCAUACGGUUUAGCCAUAGUUUAUACGGAUUUUGUGGUGAAUCUUACGUAUAUGGCCGUAUCGCACAAAUCAUACGGAUUCUGAAAAUAUCCUUCAAAAAAGUAACGCAGGAAUACAACUCUGAACACAGUAAUGCCACUAAGUAGAAUGAUGAUUAGACAUUAACCAGACAUUGUAUUAUGGAGAUCUACAAUAAAUAUCAUUGAAAAUUACGUGGGGGGUUUUUCUGCCGUUAUUUUGACAUACAAAAUGCUUUGAUAUGUUAUAAGGAUUUUUUGCUCUUUAUAAGGACUUUUUUGGUAGUUUAUACAGGUUGGCGCUCCGAAAAGUUGACAGGAAUGGGUAUGACAAGAGGUUUUAGGAGACAAAUGACAAAACAGGCUUGGGAAUCACUGGUUAGACUCACUAGCUUGCUA